rnacentral:rRNA from 1 species
UACGAGGGGGGCAAAUGUUGUUCGGAAUUACUGGGCGUAAAGAGCUCGUAGGUGGUUUGUCGCGUUGUUCGUGAAAACUCACAGCUCAACUGUGGGCGUGCGGGCGAUACGGGCAGACUGGAGUACUGCAGGGGAGACUGGAAUUCCUGGUGUAGCGGUGGAAUGCGCAGAUAUCAGGAGGAACACCGGUGGCGAAGGCGGGUCUCUGGGCAGUAACUGACGCUGAGGAGCGAAAGCGUGGGGAGCGAACAGG